UUAUGUGAUCGUCUCUCGCAUAUCAAUAAGCGGAGGAAAAGAAGCUAACAAGGAUUCCCCUAGUAACGGCGAGUGAAGCGGGAAGAGCUCAAAUUUGAAAUCUUAAAGGGUUUCCCUUACGAAUUGUAGUUUAAAGAAGUGUUUUCUGUUGAGGUUUUGGUAAAAGUUCUUUGGAAUAGGACAUCAUAGAGGGUGAGAAUCCCGUAUUUGACCUUUACUUUCAACUUUGUGAUACACUUUCAAAGAGUCGGAUUGUUUGGGAAUGCAGUCCAAAAUGGGUGGUAAAUUUCAUCUAAAGCUAAAUAUUGGCGAGAGACCGAUAGCGAACAAGUACCGUGAGGGAAAGAUGAAAAGAACUUUGAAAAGAGAGUUAAACAGUACGUGAAAUUGUCAAAAGGGAAGCGUUUGACACCAGUGUUGUUUUUCUGAAAAUCAAUUAAAGAACUGUUUAUGCUAAGCUGUUUAGACUUUAUCAGCUAUCUGUUUAGUUUUGAGCUUUUCUUUAAUGCACUUUUCAGUUAACAAGUCAACAUCAAUUUCUUUUGCUGUAAAAAAGCUUGAGGAAGGUGGCUUGAGAUUCGUCUUAAGUGUUUAUAGCCUCUUGCCUAUGCAGUCGGAGAGAUUGAGGUCUGCAGCGUAGAUCCUUCGGGGCUAAAUGCAUUUGUGCUAAGUUAUAGCAUUUUAUAGACAACUUGUUGACUAUGAUUUGUCUUGUAGCUUACUCGCUUAUGUUAUUUUACCUACGCUUAGGAUGUUGAGCGCAUGUCUCUCUCU
rnacentral:rRNA from 1 species